UGCGUCACUUGAGUGGGUUGAGUCACUAACGUGAUCUUCCUGUCUGGGUUGGCGCCACCCCUUGGGUUGUGCCGUGGCGGAGAUCUUUGUGGGCUAUACUCGGCCUUGUCUCAGGAUGGACCUGAGCCCUAGGACCAUGCCUCAGGACUACCUGGCAUGACGACUCCUUGCUGUCCCCAGUCCACCUGGCUGUGCUGCUGCUCCAGUUUCAACUGUUCUGCCUGCGGCUAUGGAACCCUGACCUGUUCCCCGGACGUGCUCCCUGUCCCAGACCUGCUGUUUUCAACUCCCUAGAGACAGCAGGAGCGGUAGAGACACUCUGAAUGAUCGGCUAUGAAAAGCCAACUGACAUUUACUCCUGAGGUGUUGACCUGUUGCAUCCUCGACAACCACUGUGAUUAUUAUUAUUUGACCCUGCUGGUCAUCUAUGAACAUUUGAACAUCUUGGCCAUGUUCUGAUAUAAUCUCCACCCGGCACAGCCAGAAGAGGACUGGCCACCUCUCAUAGCCUGGUCCCUCUCUAGGUUUCUUCCUAGGUUCUGGCCUUUCUUGGGAGUUUUUCCUAGCCACCGUGCUUCUACACCUGCAUUGCUUGCUGUUUGGGGAUUUAGGCUGGGUUUCUGUACAGCACUUUGAGAUAUCAGCUGAUGUAAUAAGGGCUUUAUAAAUACAUUUGAUUUGAAAUUUGA